rnacentral:rRNA from 1 species
AUUGAACGCUGGCGGCAGGCUUAACACAUGCAAGUCGAGCGAGCGGCGGACGGGUGAGUAAUGUCUGGGAAACUGCCUGGUGGAGGGGGAUAACUACUGGAAACGGUAGCUAAUACCGCAUACCAUCAGAUGUGCCCGUAUUGGAUUAGCUAGUGGGUGGGGUAAAGGCUCACCUAGGCGACGAUCCCUAGCUGGUUUGAGAGGAUGACCAGCCACACUGGAACUGAGACACGGCCCAGACUCCUACGGGAGGCAGCAGUGGGGAAUAUUGCACAAUGGGCGAAAGCCUGAUGCAGCCAUGCCGCGUGUGUGAAGAAGGCCUUCGGGUUGUAAAGCACUUUUGGCGGGGAGGCGGUACUCGCAGAAGAAGCACCGGCUAACUACGUGCCAGCAGCCGCGGUAAUUC